GGCUGUCCAACAUGCGGCCCCCCCAGAUGUUGCUGAACUACAACUCCCAUGAUUCCCUGGCUAUCUGUUUAAUUGAAAUAAUCAUGGGAGUUGUAGUUAAGCAACAUCCGGGGGCCGCAGGUUCGACAGGCCUGAUCUACGGAACAGAUUGCUUGAUAAGUAAAACCACAGACUUCAAGGAGGGUGUUCUUUCUUUUUCUCAUGAUUCUAGUAUCCAGUUAGUGUAAUGAUCUGGGGUUGUAUGACUGCAAAAUGUGAGGGCAUAUUUUGUGUGAUGGUAUGGUACUUUAAAUGGGGGGCAAAAAAUAUAGCUGCGAUGUAUUUGAUCUAAAACAUAAGCCUUCGGCAUCUAAUCUAUGUAUAAAGCCUAUAUAUUUCAACUGGUUUUAGGGCCUUAUGUGUCGGCUGUGGGCAAAAAGUAGUUUCAGGAAAAUCAUAUUACAUUGCUAGAAUGGCCAUGUAAUAGCCCUGACUUGAAUACAAUUGAAAAUCUGUGGAGCCAAUUAAAAAAAAAUUGUUAUUCAAAAGCAACCAAAGAAUAAAAGACUAUGUGAAACCAAUAUUAUGAUUGAUCCUAACACCUGCAGAACUAAAAACCUAGAUUCAUUCCAUGGGAUACCAU